GGUGAGAGAGUGAUCACAGCGGGUAGAGGCCGUCAAGCCAGGUGGGCGCCCUGGACUCUAGGGCUCCUGCAGCAGGGAGGACCGCAGGGGGCGCUGCGCGUGGCAAGUGCAGGCACCUGCGAUAAGACCCCGCGUGCGGACGAGAUACUCCGCCCUGCGGCGAGAGGGAGGGCUGGUGAGCGUUGGCCUUCGGCCUUCGUCUCCCAACGCUCCGGGGCGAGGCUGGACUUUCCACAGUUAGCUGGACGAGGGGAGUCUUGAGAAAUGGCGUUUUGUUGUAAUCGGGUGUGUGCCACUCCCCGGCCCUGAACCGAAUGUGCAAGAAAGAUUGGAGGUUGUGAAAUCCAAAUCGGAAGACGCUGCCUCACUGCGGAUACUGUGCCGGCCUUAUCUGUCUGUCCUCCCAGCAUGGUUAAAGAGAACACUGAUGAAGCUUACAUUGUUCCAACUAUUCCGGCUCUAUCUUAAAUAUGGUGGCGGAACUUCAUUCAACUCUGUGGCCCCCAUGCACCACCACCCUGAAGCUUUCAAUCUGCAGACACUCUGGGAAGGGAAUAUCUGUUGGAUGAAUGUGCACCUCCUAUUCUAAUGGUUUGCUCUGUCCUGGCGUGGCUGGAGACAUAACGAGACCCAGAAAUCAGCUCUUGGACAGCAGACCUCCUUCAGGGCAGGAAGCUCCAAGGGAGAGGAGUGAGUGUGAGUCAGAAUUUUUAAAAACAUAUGUGAAAUACACAUAAAGGACUAGAGAAAUAGAAGUUAUGGCUGUCUGCGCUCUUCAUCCACGAGAACCCCGAAAACAGAAGCAUUCCCACCAGCCUGACCCUGACAUCACAGCAAGAACCUCCAAAGCCAGUCUUUGCCAAAUCAGUAGGAUAGAGAAGCAACCACAGAGGAAAGGAAAGGACAACAAUGACCCAUACGUUAUUGCCCAAGUGCUUUUGAGCAAAGGCCUGUGGAGGCAAGAUUGCGCCAAACCUGUUACAGGAAAUUAGAUAACACGUAUUGUUUGGAAGCUUCAGCUCUAUCCUCCAAUUCCAUUAGCUAUUCCUUGACUCUCAAUCCUUUGGGGGUCAGGGCCACGUCAACUCCAGCGCUGGGGUCUCCAAGAAGAACUCAACUGACAGCUACGACUGCCCACCCAGAACCCGAUCACUUGGACCUUAGGGCUGCGGGUCUAGACAGGGCCCCCGAAGGCCAGCUAUGUGGCUGGUGUUCACUUGGUGGCUCAUUUUUGCUCUGAUAUUUUGGGAUCCCAAUUAAUGUUCAUACCUUUUGAGACUUUAUUAUUUACUCCCAAAGAACAGUUUGUUUGUUUUUUAAGUUUUGGUUAGAUGCAGACUCCUCAAGGGCAGAAAUUUCUGAAUUAUCUUUGUAAUCCCAGGACUUGACACGUGGAAGCCAGCACAGUGGACAACAAAGAAAGAAAGGUAGCCAGUCUUCCCGAGAGACCUGGAGGGAACAUUUUGAUAGGUCUCCUUUCUUCUAUAAAUGUUUUUCCCAGGGGUGAGCAUAUAAAGUAUGUACAAUUUGCAAUCCUACUUUUUGCUUUCAAUUAAUGUGAUACAGGCAUUUUCCUGUGUGCUAUCAUCCGAAUAAUUGAGCCUCCCACCCCAGAUUUACAUGUUGAAAACUUGAUGCUCUAGGUGGUAGUAUUAGGAGGUGGGGCCUUUGGUCAGUAGACCAUGAGGGUGGAGCCUUCAUAAAUGGGAUUAGUGUUCUUAUAAAAGAAUCCCCAGACAGCUUGCUUCCCUCUUUUACAAUGUGAAGAUAUCACAAGUGUGCGACCUGAAGAGGACCCUUACCCGACCAUGCUGGCACCCUGAUCUUGGACUUCCAGCCUCCAGAACUGUAAGAAAUAAAUUUCCAUUGUUUAUAAACAACCUAGUCUUGGGGCGCCUGGGUGGCUCAGUCAGUUAUGCGUCCAACUUGC